rnacentral:rRNA from 1 species
AUUGAACGCUGGCGGAAUGCUUUACACAUGCAAGUCGAACGGCAGCACGGGUGCCUGCACCUGGUGGCGAGUGGCGAACGGGUGAGUAAUACAUCGGAACGUACCCAGUCGUGGGGGAUAACGUAGCGAAAGUUACGCUAAUACCGCAUACGUCCUGAGGGAGAAAGCGGGGGACCGUAAGGCCUCGCGCGAUUGGAGCGGCCGAUGGCGGUUUAGCUAGUUGGUGGGGUAAAGGCCUACCAAGGCGACGAUCCGUAGCGGGUCUGAGAGGACGGCCCGCCACACUGGAACUGAGACGCGGUCCAGACUCCUACGGGAGGCAGCAGUGGGGAAUUUUGGACAAUGGGCGAAAGCCUGAUCCAGCCAUUCCGCGUGAGUGAAGAAGGCCUUCGGGUUGUAAAGCUCUUUCGGCAGGGAAGAAACGGCUUGGGAUAAUACCCCGGGCUAAUGACGGUACCUGAAGAAGAAGCACCGGCUAACUACGUGCCAGCCGCCGCAGUAA